rnacentral:rRNA from 1 species
CAGCAGCCGCGGUAAUACGUAGGUGGCAAGCGUUGUCCGGAAUUAUUGGGCGUAAAGGGCUCGCAGGCGGUUUCUUAAGUCCGAUGUGAAAGCCCCCGGCUCAACCGGGGAGGGUCAUUGGAAACUGGGAAACUUGAGUGCAGAAGAGGAGAGUGGAAUUCCACGUGUAGCGGUGAAAUGCGUAGAGAUGUGGAGGAACACCAGUGGCGAAGGCGACUCUCUGGUCUGUAACUGACGCUGAGGAGCGAAAGCGUGGGGAGCGAACAGGAUUAGAUACCCGAGUAGUCCCUGUCUCUUAUAC